rnacentral:rRNA from 1 species
GUGGGGAAUAUUGGACAAUGGGCGAAAGCCUGAUCCAGCCAUGCCGCGUGUGUGAAGAAGGUCUUCGGAUUGUAAAGCACUUUAAGUUGGGAGGAAGGGCAGUAAGUUAAUACCUUGCUGUUUUGACGUUACCAACAGAAUAAGCACCGGCUAACUCCGUGCCAGCAGCCGCGGUAAUACGAAGGGUGCAAGCGUUAAUCGGAAUUACUGGGCGUAAAGCGCGCGUAGGUGGUUUUGUAAGUUGGAGGUGAAAUCCCCGGGCUCAACCUGGGAACUGCCUCCAAAACUACUGAGCUAGAGUACGGUAGAGGGUAGUGGAAUUUCCUGUGUAGCGGUGAAAUGCGUAGAUAUAGGAAGGAACACCAGUGGCGAAGGCGACUACCUGGACUGAUACUGACACUGAGGUGCGAAAGCGUGGGGAGCAAACAGGAUUAGAAACCCUGGUAGUCC